UUUUCAGGCUGCUAAAUUGGGAUUGCGGAGAAAUGCUCCCCGCAGACCCAUUCUCACAGCGUUAUAAACCUUUUUCUUACUCAAUAUAAAGCCACACUUAUUGUUU